GCGAAUGGCUCAUUAAAUCAGUUAUCGUUUAUUUGAUAGUACCUUACUACUUGGAUAACCGUGGUAAUUCUAGAGCUAAUACAUGCUAAAAACCCCAACUUCGGGAGGGGUGUAUUUAUUAGAUAAAAAACCAAUGCCCUUCGGGGCUCCUUGGUGAUUCAUGAUAACUUCUCAGAUCGCAUAGCCUUGUGCUGGCGACGGUUCAUUCAAAUUUCUGCCCUAUCAACUUUCGAUGGUAAGGUAGUGGCUUACCAUGGUUUCAACGGGUAACGGGGAAUUAGGGUUCGAUUCCGGAGAGGGAGCCUGAGAAACGGCUACCACAUCCAAGGAAGGCAGCAGGCGCGCAAAUUACCCAAUUCCGAUGCGGAGAGGUAGUGACAAUAAAUACUGAUACAGGGCUCUUUUGGGUCUUGUAAUUGGAAUGAGUACAAUUUAAACCUCUUAACGAGGAACAAUUGGAGGGCAAGUCUGGUGCCAGCAGCCGCGGUAAUUCCAGCUCCAAUAGCGUAUAUUAAAGUUGUUGCAGUUAAAAAGCUCGUAGUUGAACCUUUGGCCUGGCUGGCAGGUCCGCCUCACCGCGUGCACUUGUCCGGCCGGGCCUUUUCUUCUGGAGAACCGCAUGCCCUUCACUGGGUGUGUUGGGGACCAGGACUUUUACUUUGAAAAAAUUAGAGUGUUCAAAGCAGGCCUUUGCUCGAAUACGUUAGCAUGGAAUAAUAGAAUAGGACGUGCGGUCCUAUUUUGUUGGUUUCUAGGACCGCCGUAAUGAUUAAUAGGGACAGUCGGGGGCAUCAGUAUUCAAUUGUCAGAGGUGAAAUUCUUGGAUUUAUUGAAGACUAACUACUGCGAAAGCAUUUGCCAAGGAUGUUUUCAUUAAUCAGUGAACGAAAGUUAGGGGAUCGAAGACGAUCAGAUACCGUCGUAGUCUUAACCAUAAACUAUGCCGACUAGGGAUCGGGCGGUGUUUCUAUUGUGACCCGCUCGGCACCUUACGAGAAAUCA
rnacentral:rRNA from 1 species